CAGGACGCGAGCUAAGUCUGCCCGGCCGGCGCGCGCCGCUUCCGCUUUGGUGGGAAGGACCUCCCUUCCCCCUUAUAGAAACACUUUCUCCAGGCCGGGCCGGGCUUGGUAAACCUCAGCCGUGCCUGGGUAGAGGACGCCGGGCUGGGCCGAGCGGGGGUGGAAUGAGGGCGUCUAGAACAGAGAAAACUAAGUAGGAUGGGGUCGUCCCCCCAGUAAUCUGGAAAACAGUUACAGCAACAGGCUCCUCUCAUCAGACGGCAGUGCUGGUCGUUUCCUCACUGGUUUGCGGGGAAGGCUGGGCAGAAAAAGGAUGCAACCUUGUUCUCAACCACUUGCUAUCUCGUGAUUCAGGGAUUGGAUGAGUCUCUAUGGUUUGUUUUGCCCUGAAGAGCAGAAGGCUUCUGUCCCA
rnacentral:lncRNA from 1 species